rnacentral:rRNA from 1 species
CCUACGGGUGGCAGCAGUGGGGAAUAUUGGACAAUGGGGGGAACCCUGAUCCAGCGACGCCGCGUGAGUGAAGAAGUAUUUCGGUAUGUAAAGCUCUAUCAGCAGGGAAGAAAGAAAUGACGGUACCUGACUAAGAAGCCCCGGCUAACUACGUGCCAGCAGCCGCGGUAAUACGUAGGGGGCAAGCGUUAUCCGGAUUUACUGGGUGUAAAGGGAGCGUAGGCGGCGAUGCAAGUCUGAAGUGAAAGGCUGGGGCUCAACCCCUGGACUGCUUUGGAAACUGUAUGGCUGGAGUGCAGGAGAGGUAAGUGGAAUUCCUAGUGUAGCGGUGAAAUGCGUAGAUAUUAGGAGGAACACCAGUGGCGAAGGCGGCUUACUGGACUGUAACUGACGUUGAGGCUCGAAAGCGUGGGGAGCAAACAGGAUUAGAUACCCGUGUAGUC